AUGGUGGGUAGCUUGACCAGUAGUUACUUUUAAAGACUUGUUUAAAACAAGAAGUGGUGAAAUUAUUAUUUUAUCAUUACUUUUAAUAAAUUAUUAUUUAACAUUAAUCUAGGUCAAUCAGAGAGUUUUCUUCUAUAUAUGUUUCAAUAGGUUGGCUAAGCAAGCGUCGUGCUGCUAUGCGAAGCAGCCUGAAUGUUGCACCCUAGAUGGUGAAAGUCCAGUAGCGAAAGCAUCACUAGCUUACGCUCUGUCUCGAGUAGCAUGGGGCACGUGGAAUUCUAUGUGAAUCAGCAAGGACCACCUUAUUGCAAGGCUAAAUAUUCCUGGAUGACCGAUAGUGAAGUAGUAUUGUGAGGGAAGGGUGAAAAGAACCCCAGCGGGGAGUGAAAUAGAACAUGAAACCGU
rnacentral:ncRNA from 1 species